CAGAGGGGGCAAGCGUUGUUCGGAAUUACUGGGCGUAAAGGGCGCGUAGGCGGCCUGUUAAGUCGAACGUGAAAUCCCCGGGCUCAACCCGGGAACUGCGUCCGAUACUGGCAGGCUUGAAUCCGGGAGAGGGACGCGGAAUUCCAGGUGUAGCGGUGAAAUGCGUAGAUAUCUGGAGGAACACCGGUGGCGAAGGCGGCAUCCUGGACCGGCAUUGACGCUGAGGCGCGAAAGCCAGGGGAGCAAACGGGAUUAGAUACCCCGGUAGUCCUGGCCCUAAACGAUGAAUGCUUGGUGUGGCGGGUAUCGAUCCCUGCCGUGCCGAAGCUAACGCAUUAAGCAUCCGCCUGGGGAGUACGGUCGCAAGGCUG
rnacentral:rRNA from 1 species